AUUUUGUAUUUUGUAAACUUUUGUAAUUAGACUUUUAUUUUGUCAUGUAUAUUACAAUCUCAUGUAAUUAUGUUUUGAUGUAAACACCUAUAAAUCAUAUUCAGUGAUAAAUUUGAGUAUUUCUUAUUGAGUUGAGUAUGAUAUGAAGUGAAUUGAAUUUUGAGAUAUUGAAGUCAUUUGAGAAAUUGUGGAAAGAUGUUGGUUGUUGACUGAGAUUGAUAUUAUGAUUAUAUUGGAAGUGUUUUUAACAGAUUCAAAAGAACUGUUUUUCCAAUUUACAGCCAGCACUCUGCCGAAUUUUUCAUAGAAUUUGUGGAAAAUUCAGAUUAAUCAAAAUUGUAAAUAAAUGUGUUAAAAAUGUUAAAUUGUAAUGGAAAUAUGAUUUGGUGCUCCGGCACACUUUGUGGCAUAUCUUGCUCAG
rnacentral:misc_RNA from 1 species